rnacentral:tRNA from 1 species
GGAGAGGUGGCAGAGCGGUUGAUUGCACCGGUCUUGAAAACCGGCGUCCCCGCAAGGGGACCGUGGGUUCGAAUCCCACCCUCUCCGCCA